UACUAUCUCAUCCAUUGUGCCUUUAUUUAUAGUGGUAUGGAAGGUAAAUUCCUUACCUCAAUAGGAUUAGCAACUCUAAAAUGAUAAUAUAUAGUCUAAGAGAUAUGGUAGAAUCCCAUAAAGAUAUUACAGAUAUGAUAGGAUUUACACGAUAACAUUCUUAAUCUAAUAGGACUGCAACAUUAUUAUUAUUUUAAAGUUGUGGAGUUUGUUUGUUUGAUGGGUGUUUUAGUCCAAUUAUUUUUUGUGAAGUAUUCGGACACCUAACUGGGUGCUUGUAUUUAAAUAUUAGAGAUUAAAGAUAAUUAUAAGUUUAGUGGCGCCAUAAUUUUGUAAGUGAGCGAGAGGUUUUCAGACAGUCAAAUCGUUUCGUUCUCUCGCCAUUGCAGUAGAGUAAACUUUGCUUCGCUGAUAAUUUGGAGGGGGAUGCCCAUCGUUCUAUGACCGGGGAUUCCUCCUUUUUGAGAAGCAUUUCUGUUUCUCAUCUCUUUGGCUUGUUGACUUUACUCCGUUUUUUCUUCUUAUCCCUCAGCGUUUCCUCAAUUUCGAAGGAGACGGCAUCAUCUCCCUGGAACCUACGAGCUUGGUUUGGGUUUCGACGUCAAUCCGCCAAUUCCGGCGACGUCCAGUUGGUCUCAAACCAUUCUCCAUAACCUAAGAAUUUUCGGUCAUUGGCGCAACAAAUUUGUUGCUUGACAUUUUGAGUGUUUGCAUAACAUAGAUUGUUGAGGAAUUCAACAAAAAGGCUUCCAGAUAAAGCCGCUUUCUUAUUUCCAAGGUUUGUGCAUAUUUCUCCAUUUUUUAAAUGUUUAAUUUUUUUAGUUACAUUUUUUUUUUUUCUGUUUUAUAUUAUUGUAUUUCAAGGCCGACUUUGUUAUAUUAACUCUGAAAUUUGAACACAACUAUCUAAAAUAUAAUGUUAUUUGGAACUUUCCUAAUUUCUGAGUACGCACUGCAUUGAUUAAGGUUUUUUAAAGAGAGUUUUAACGAAAAGCUCACGGUACUGUUUACUUUAACGAAAAACCACAUUUUUAUACUAAAAAGUCAAUCCUGAUACUAUUUGGGGCGGAUGCCUCCUAAAGAGUAUUUGAUAGUGCAAUCUGUGUUUUUUGAAUGAGUUGAAACUGAAAGGUGAUUUCUGGGUAUUUUCCUUCUUGUUUUUGUAUUCUUUCUGGGUAUUUUCCUUCUUGUUUUUGUAUUGUUUCUAUUUAUCACGUAGGUCAGUAGCCUAUUGGUGCUGUAUUGGCCUCUCGGUAAUCUAAGCCCUGGUCAAGGAGAGGAAUUAUCCUGCAAAUGCUAAGGUAACCACUGCUUGGAUAAUUUGGACUUUGACGGAGAUAUCUACUGCUCUGUGGAAUAGUAAAUGCGAAGUAAUCAGAUAAUAUAUAUGUAUACACUAUACACACACAAAGACAAAUUAUAUAUAUAUAGAUAUCUGUGUGUGUAUACAUAUUUUAGGACAAGCUUAUUGGGUUAUAUGCAUUUUUAGCAUUGAAUAUCCUUCUGAGUUUUGUUUCAUAUGCUCAUGUAAAGCACUGUUUAUUUGUUCUUUUUUCUAUUCUAUUUGUUCGUCGUGUUCGUUGGUUCUCAACUUUGUCUGUUCUUAUGCUCUUGUAAAGCACUGUGUUGAUUAUUGUGGUUAAACAAGAUUCUGUAGGAUGACUGUACUGUUUUGUUGGAGAUAGAAUUAACAUUUUCUUUUAAUUACUGGGUUUUUCGUUGCUGGGUUUUAAUGGUGCAAUCUGGGAUUUUGAAUUUGUUUAAACAGAUAGGUAAUUUCUGGGUAUUCUUGGUAUUUUUCUUCUUGUUUCUGUGAGUGUCAUAUUUUUGUAUUGAUUUACUGAUAUCUACAAAUAUCCUUUUAUUUUCAAAACUGUUUUCGCUCUUCUGUCCAUUGAGGAUAUGGACAAAGUUAAUAUCUCCUAUGUGACGUUCAAUUAUUUGUCAAUUCCUUUACUGUCGUUCCAGUAUUUUUCUAAUUUCGAAGGCUCUGAAUUGCUAAUGAAUAUACCUUUUUUUAUGUUCAGAAUUUUGGGCCAUUGGCGGAACAAAUUUGUUGCUUUACAUUUUGAGGUAUAUAAUUUGCUUUACUUUGGUUUCAGUUUCUUCAGUUAGAUACAGAGUGGAUAUGCGUUUGCUAUAUUCGAACUAUCUUUUGUAUGUACAUAUCAAAUCUUAUGUCGAGAUGGAAUGCUUUUUUAUUAACAGUUGCAUGGCUGGCUUUUUAUUAACAGUUUAUCCAUGAAUGUGAACUAUCAAGCUUUUUGUUAAUUAGAAUUGGCUAAUUCUUUUAUUAAGAAUUUGUUUUUACUCAGCCGUGUUAGUUCUUCAUAUAAGUACAUAGCAUGAGUAUGUAGAAUGUCAUGUCUGUGUGUCGUAUUACUUGCAUGAGAAUUACAGAGUGACACCAUGUUGCGAUGGUGUAAAUGCAACUUUGUAUUUGGUUUGUGUGUAAAACUUAGUCCACUUGGUGAAUGUUUUCCCAUUCUUUUCAGCUUCAGUGUUUGAGUGGCGUAGAUUGUUACAUUAACUUUGAAAUUUGGACACUUGCUUUGAAUUAAUGCUAUUUCAAGGCCUACUUUGUUAUAUUAACUGUGAAAUUUGGACACAAGUUUCUCAAAUAUAGUGUUAUUUGGAACUUUCCAUAUUUCUGAGCAAGAACUGCAUUGAUUAAGGUUUUUUAAAUUUAAGGCAGCGAUGUUUGCAUGCCCUAAUCAUAUGUGAAUUGAGGCUAAAAUGGAUACAAAGUUUGAUGAGAUCAAUUCAAAGAUUUAAAUUAGUUUUCUAAUCACAUUAGUCACUUUGUAAAAAGAAAAGAAAAAAGAGCAUCUCUUUCAUCAAUUAUAUUUCACAUGCAUCUUAGUAUACAUACAGUUCUCAGUUUUCUGUCUUCCUUUAUUCUUUUAUUUUUUGCGUGUGUGUAUUUAUCUAUCUAUGUAUAAACACAGAUAUCGGAUACUGCAAAUCCCAGUUAGGCUGAUAAUUUUAACAUGCAUCUCGUACUCCCUUGCGCAGAGAGGAGAUAAUCAUUACGAGAAACUCAAUACAACAACACUUUUAUUACUCUUAAAAGCAUACUGUGAACCUUGAGCUGAAGUAAGUCCUCAAUUUUCAUGUACUUUUUAUUUGUUGAUGUCUAGGUAGUUGGUAUUUACAUGGUUUUUAAUGAUUAGAUCGCCUAAUGUGUAUAAUUGUGUUGUUUCUGAUUUUGAUAUAAAUUCCGUUUAGUUCGCAGUAAGAUGAACCAUGGCGUGUUUGUAUUAAUGGUAUUGAGUAUAAUUGGAGAAACUGUUUGUUUAAUGUGUACAUCAUGUUGUGGGAUUUUAAAGUCGAAACCACUUGCUUUGAA